AGAUCGAACUAUAGAGUUUGAUCCUGGCUCAGAUUGAACGCUGGCGGCAUGCCUUACACAUGCAAGUCGAACGGCAGCGCGGGAGCAAUCCUGGCGGCGAGUGGCGAACGGGUGAGUAAUACAUCGGAACGUGCCCAAUCGUGGGGGAUAACGCAGCGAAAGCUGUGCUAAUACCGCAUACGAUCUACGGAUGAAAGCAGGGGAUCGCAAGACCUUGCGCGAAUGGAGCGGCCGAUG
rnacentral:rRNA from 1 species